rnacentral:rRNA from 1 species
GACGAACGCUGGCGGCGUGCUUAACACAUGCCAGUCGAACGGACAGGCCCUGCUUUUGUGGGGUGCUCGAGUGGCGAACGGGGGAGUAACACGUGAGUAACCUGCCCUUGACUUUGGGAUAACUUCAGGAAACUGGGGCUAAUACCGGAUAGGAGCUCCUGCUGCAUGUUGUGGGUUGGAGAGUUUCGGCGGUUGGGGAUGGACUCGCGGCUUAUCAGCUGGUUGGUGGGGUAGUGGCUUACCAAGGCUUUGACGGGUAGCCGGUCUGAGAGGGUGACCGGCCACAUUGGGACUGAGAUACGGCCCAGACUCCUACGGGAGGCAGCAGUGGGGAACAUUGCACAAUGGGCGGAAGCCUGAUGCAGCAACGCCGCGUGCGGGAUGACGGGCUUCGGGUUGUAAACCGCUGUCGCAUGUGACGAAGCGUGAGUGACGGUAAUGGGUAAAGAAGCACCGGCUAACUACGUG